GUUGUAUGUUAAACAAAAUAAAUUAAUCCAAAUAAAAUUUUUAUGAACCUUCUUUUGUAUUUUAAAGUCCUAAACUAACUCACUAUCUUUUCCCCUUGUAAAGAAGCAAUGAAAGCCGUUGAAAAGUUGGAUAGACUUUUGGAUCCACGACUUAAAGUGUUACAGGAUAGAAAAACUAAAAGAGAUCCAUGGGUUGUUGGAAAUUUGUCUAACUUUGAAGAAAAACGUUCCACAAAAGUACGAAGUAACUCUGAAUCGGAUGAAUACUGGUCUAAAUUGAGUUCUAAAAGUAAUAGUAAUAAAAGUAAACUGUGC